AUUCACGACCUCAGUGUCAUUUUAGAUCAAGCGGACGUCAUUCCUCGUCGAGUCCCAGACGACGAUGCCUGAAUAUGCUUCAAGUUUAACAAAGAGGAAUCAAAGGGUCAAAGUUCGCGCAGAUGCACAGCUCGUCUACAAGUAGUCUAAUGAUCCUUCCUUUCAAAAGCUACUAACGUGGAUUUUAUUUUUAGACCGAGCGUUGAACUUAAAACCCAGACCUUGGACUUGAAACGCAUUCUCCAAUGAAUAACAAAGUCUUCGCCGGCGAUAAAUUCUGAACUUUCAAACCGGAACUGCAUACUCGUCUAAACAUACAUUAACAGAGAUCCUCCAGACUCUGUGAGAUUCAAAAAUUCUCAAGUGCGUCCUCGUGGGACUUAUCGUCAGACGGGACUUUCAGGCGGAAGACAUGUGGCUCGCACGCGUGCAGCUAUCCAGUCCUGUGAGUACGCAGCAAUGAGGCCCCGUAGCAACACAUGGCUCGUAUGAAGACCAACUAUAUUUAGAGAAGUGCAUUUCGAGUAGUGUCGCGUGUCCAUUGCGCGUGGCUGUCUAACCGAAGAGGGAACUACCACGUAUCAGUCAUAGAUAUUCGACAAGUAGUCUAGCAAGAGGACAGAGACGCGAUGCCAAGGACCGUUCAAAAUUUCUUCACCGUCAUCAAUUGGUUACAAUGAAAAAAGGUAUCGAGAGGAAGCAAUCGUGAACUACUGACGAGAGUAUCGUUUGUAAGAGCAAGAGACAUGGGAGAAAAAAGCAAAACGUGAAAGGAAAGAGAAUACAACGUUUUCUGCGUAGUCAGCGACGCGGCGGAUGAGUCAGGCACGGCAGGUAGAGAACGAGCGGAAACAAGGGUGGCUACGGAGGAAAAAUAUAAUUUUCCGCUCUGUCGAUUGCGACGUGUCGUCAACGGCGAAGAACCGUUCACGAUCCCGGAUAAAUAUUUUUUUGUCGAAUUCCAGGAAUAUUUACCAAACGCUUUUGCUACUGGAUGGAACAAUUGAUACAUCCAGUUUCAAGGCGACGCUGGACACCGUGACGAGAACCACAGAGGGUCCAGGAAGCGAAAGGACGAACGGAAAGGAACGUUAUACUAUACGUCCGGUUUUCGAGUAGCGUACGUUCCGUUCUACGUGGUUUGACGUUGUACAUCCUUGCACAUAAAUUUGGAGAACGAGGACCAAAAUUUUGAACGUUACCGGUAUCAAAUUAUGUAUUUCUCGUAUCUGUUUGGUGCGACUUCCAGGAGGAAAUUCCAAGAGGAUACGUGGGAGUCUGGAUAACGAUGCCACGGAAAAACUGGAGCAACAAUGCGAAAACAUGUAGCGAUAAAAGAGCGAGACGAUUUAUAUACAGGGUUAUUCAGAACUAUUGCACCACCUCAAGACGGGGUUCUGUUCAUUUGAUUUCAAUUAAUUCGUAUAUUUAGGUGGUUCGGUAUUUCUAAAUCACCCUGUAUAUGGAUAUAUCAGUGUAAUCAGAGCCUCGCAACUGAUAUGUAGAUCCUGCCAUGUUUGACGACUACCCAUCGUUCUAAUCGCUGAACAAAUAUUUUCUCACUCUAAUAGAGUAGCAAUUGUUUGGCUGAGGCAAAGAUCGUUUCUGCAACCCUAAGCAGGGAGUGGUGAAAACGUCAAAAAUUAAGUGUACCUUAAUGGAGUGAGAGAGUUCCAGUCCUUUUCCAUAAAUCGUAGCCAUGUUUGUUCUCGAGUGAAUGACGCUUUCGAAUGGAACCAUUGAAAAGGGAAGAAGGCAUUAGGGGGGGGGGAUCGGUACUUGCACACUCGCUCCUGUCGAAUCAUUCUUUUCAGGAAGCUUCGACGAGGUUCUAUUAAGAAGUGAGAGAUGUAGAAAGCCAGCACGGGUUGUAAGCCAAGUGGCACCGAGUGGUUACAGGGUGACGGAAAGUGGAAGUAGCCGGGGCUGUUUUCAUAGUCUCAAUUGGCAGAGACCAGACGGAAGGAAAAAAUGAAUAGAUUUUUCGCGAGAAGAGACUUUAUGAAAAUAUACGAGAAAUUGAAAAGACCUGCAAAGAUGGAAAAAGUACCAGUGAAAAAUCUACCUGAAUAAUACAUGAAUACUGGAAAGACCGAGAUGAAGCUGCACUCUGGGGAGUCUCGUUGGCUUGGCAGUUCAUAAUUAAAUCUUCAGGAUAUUGCACCCGAGAGCGGAUGCAUUUUAUAGAUUGCGAUUGAAGUCUGUCUAUUGACCUUGCUAUCUUGUUCACGUACGUAACGAGCGUGUUCGGGAUAUGUGCGCGUGGAACGUGUAUAGCAUUGAUAGGGCGAAAGGGAUAAAAAAGGACGGUGGGUACCAGAGAAUAAAAUCCUUUGUUCCAGCUGUACGCACCGUGUGCAGUAUAAAGCGUCAAUUACUUAUGAUUUCCAUCUGUCCCUUUGACGUAAUCUAGCAAUAGGCUGUGACAGCCAGUCGAUCCAUAUGAAAUUUUAGAAAAUGAAUCUUCCGGAAUCCCUGGGUGCCUAGACUGAGCCAGCUGUGGACAGAGCAAAUGUCACAUCCGGUGCCACAACUUCGUCUAUCUUGCAGGAUCGAAAACGGUAGUUAGAGGUAAGGACAAAGAAAGGGGAUAUUCUACAUACAGGGGAGAGAGGGGAUCGCAGGGCAGAAGGUAUUACCCAACACUAAACCCCGUCGAGAGGAGCAAAGAUUUAUUUUAUAAAGCACCGAGUGGCUGGAGAUUCCAUUGUGGGGAGUCGGCUAUAUUGACUUUAGUUGGUAUUAGGGAUUAUUCUUUGGUUCCAAAGUGUUAUCUGCGCCUUUGGACUAGGGGAUGCUGUUUCGGGGCCUAGAAGGCAUCCCUUAACGCACUUCAUCAACUUUGGGGGUUUUAAUCAAAAUUUUACAAGAUCCUUCCACGUAUUCAGUGCAAAUAACUAUUUGACUUUGUUGACUUAUUUAUAUUUCGAAUUUACUCCUUCGAAGUGCGCAUGAGAAAAGGAUAUGGUACGUGUGUAUGUGUAAGCGCGCUUCCCCUUAAUUCCCCCUUCCGGACUACCCGACGCGAAGGUUCCAGUUAUUCUGGUUCUCGGCUUCGGGUUCGACCCCCCCGUCGCACUCCCUCGAAAAAAGCAGAUCCACCAAGCAAAAAGGCGAGAGACUGCGAAGCUACGCAGCAUCCAAGAGG